rnacentral:rRNA from 1 species
AACGAACGCUGGCGGCAGGCCUAACACAUGCAAGUCGAACGCUUCAGCAAUGAAGAGUGGCAGACGGGUGAGUAACGCGUGGGAACCUUCCCAGUGGUACGGAAUAGCCCAGGGAAACUUGGGGUAAUACCGUAUAAGCCCUUCGGGGGAAAGAUUUAUCGCCAUUGGAUGGGCCCGCGUCGGAUUAGCUUGUUGGUGAGGUAAAAGCUCACCAAGGCGACGAUCCGUAGCUGGUCUGAGAGGAUGAUCAGCCACACUGGGACUGAGACACGGCCCAGACUCCUACGGGAGGCAGCAGUGGGGAAUAUUGGACAAUGGGCGCAAGCCUGAUCCAGCCAUGCCGCGUGAGUGACGAAGGCCUUAGGGUUGUAAAGCUCUUUUGGCGGGGACGAUAAUGACGGUACCCGCAGAAUAAGCUCCGGCUAACUUCGUG